rnacentral:snRNA from 1 species
AGCUCGAGUUUCUCUUCAUUAACACAUAAAUCUUUCGCCUUUUACUAAAGAUUUCAUUGAAGGCGAACUUUUUGCGAGUGACCUGUAUUUUUGGAGGCUCUGAUCACAGCAGAGCU